UACGGAGGGUGCAAGCGUUAAUCGGAAUUACUGGGCGUAAAGCGCACGCAGGCGGUUGGAUAAGUUAGAUGUGAAAGCCCCGGGCUCAACCUGGGAAUUGCAUUUAAAACUGUCCAGCUAGAGACUUGUAGAGGGGGGUAGAAUUCCAGGUGUAGCGGUGAAAUGCGUAGAGAUCUGGAGGAAUACCGGUGGCGAAGGCGGCCCCCUGGACAAAGACUGACGCUCAGGUGCGAAAGCGUGGGGAGCAAACAGG
rnacentral:rRNA from 1 species